CAAUAGCGUAUAUUAAAGUUGUUGCAGUUAAAAAGCUCGUAGUUGGAUUUCUGGUGGGAGCGAUCGGUCUGGCGCUUAGCGCGAGUACUUGCAUCGUCUCCGGCCAUCCUUGGGGAGAGUCUGUCUGGCAUUAGGUUGUCGGGCAGAGGAUCCUCAUCGUUUACUGUGAACAAAUUAGAGUGUUCAAAGCAGGCUUAUGCCGUUGAAUAUAUUAGCAUGGAAUAAUAAGAUAGGACUUUGGUACUAUUUUGUUGGUUUGCGCACCAAAGUAAUGAUUAAUAGGGACAGUUGGGGGUAUUCGUAUUCCGUUGUCAGAGGUGAAAUUCUUGGAUUUACGGAAGACGAACUACUGCGAAAGCAUUUACCAAGGAUGUUUUCAUUAA
rnacentral:rRNA from 1 species